rnacentral:lncRNA from 1 species
CCAAUAUUUACAUUUAUAAAAACGGGAAAUGAUGAGAGAAGGACUGUGAUUGGCCACUGAAGGCUCCAGCUGUGCAGUUCUACAAAUAUAUGUAAAUGGAGAGAAAUAUUACUUGGCUGCCUCGGUAAUUAGAAUGACGUUGAUGCUAUGGAACAUGAAGGAUUCAACAAGAAAUAAUUUCUAUUGUAAGAAGAAUGCCAAGACAUCUUGGAAUUUCUCAGUGCCAUGUGUGAGAGAGGACUGCAUUUGAACCAAUGUUGCUAUUUUUUGUGAGCUUAUGGAAAAGAUGGGAAGAGUGUCACUGUGGUAACUCCCAUGGAGUGGAGGAUGGAGACAUGCAGCAGAAAGUGAAGCUCUUACCACAUACAGCUGAGGCUCAGCAACUUGGCUUAGGCAGUAACUUCUGACCUGAGCAGCAUGAAGAGAAUAAACAACACUCAAAAAAUGGAAGGAUCA